UACGUAGGCAGCGAGCGUUGUUCGGAGUUACUGGGCGUAAAGAGUGCGUAGGCGGUUUUCUAAGUUUGGUGUGAAAUCUCCCGCUUAACUGGGAGGGUGCGCCGAAGACUGGAAGGCUUGAGUAUGGGAGAGGUAAGCGGAAGUUCCUGGAUGUAGCGGUGAAAUGCGUAGAUAUACAGGAGGAACACCAGUGGCGAAGGCGACUACCUGGCCCAUUCUUGACGCUGAGGCGCGAAAGCUAGGGGAGCGAACGGG
rnacentral:rRNA from 1 species